rnacentral:tRNA from 1 species
GGGACCGUAGUGUAACUUGGCCAGCAUACAAGCUUUGGGAGCUUGCAGUCGGGGUUCAAAUCCCCGCGGUCCCA